AGACUGGUGGUGGAAGCAGAAAAUGAAGGUACAAAAUCGACGAUGACAUACAAUACAGUUCUUUAUCCUAAAACCCCUUUGGAUUGCAUACUACGCACAAUCGAUAUACUGCUUCCUUGUCAUAUUACAAGAGAACCCUCGGUAUGGAAAGUUCAAGGACAACGACAACAACAAAAUUUACCACACGUACAACCGUCUAUUCGAAGGUCAUUUUGACUCCAUGAAGUACGCACUGACACCCACUAAGCUAUCUCAACGUGGGUUCGAGUUGGCCUCUGACACUGACACAGAUGAUCCGAACGACAAGUUACCUAUCAGCGCUAAGACUACUGAUUC
rnacentral:lncRNA from 1 species